rnacentral:rRNA from 1 species
UACGAAGGGGGGCUAGCGUUGUUCGGAAUUACUGGGCGUAAAGCGCGCGCAGGCGGCUAUCCAAGUCAGUGGUGAAAGCCCGGAGCUCAACUCCGGAACUGCCAUUGAAACUGUUUAGCUUGAGGACGAGAGAGGUGAGUGGAAUUCCCAGUGUAGAGGUGAAAUUCGUAGAUAUUGGGAAGAACACCGGUGGCGAAGGCGGCUCACUGGCUCGUUUCUGACGCUCAGGCGCGAUAGCGUGGGGAUCAAACAGG